rnacentral:rRNA from 1 species
GAUGAACGCUGACAGAAUGCUUAACACAUGCAAGUCAACUUGAAUUUGGGUUUUUAACUUAGGUUUGGGUGGCGGACGGGUGAGUAACGCGUAAAGAACUUGCCUCACAGCUAGGGACAACAUUUGGAAACGAAUGCUAAUACCUAAUAUUAUGAUAAUAGGGCAUCCUAUAAUUAUGAAAGCUAUAAGCGCUGUGAGAGAGCUUUGCGUCCCAUUAGCUAGUUGGAGAGGUAACGGCUCACCAAGGCGAUGAUGGGUAGCCGGCCUGAGAGGGUGAUCGGCCACAAGGGGACUGAGACACGGCCCUUACUCCUACGGGAGGCAGCAGUGGGGAAUAUUGGACAAUGGACCGAGAGUCUGAUCCAGCAAUUCUGUGUGCACGAUGAAGUUUUUCGGAAUGUAAAGUGCUUUCAGUUGGGAAGAAAAAAAUGACGGUACCAACAGAAGAAGUGACGGCUAAAUACGUG